rnacentral:rRNA from 1 species
UACGUAGGGGGCGAGCGUUGUCCGGAUUUAUUGGGCGUAAAGAGCGUGUAGGCGGCCAGGUAGGUCUGCUGUGAAAACUCGAGGCUCAACCUCGAGACGUCGGCGGAAACCCUCUGGCUAGAGUCCGGAAGAGGAGAGUAGAAUUCCUGGUGUAGCGGUGAAAUGCGCAGAUAUCAGGAAGAACACCCGUGGCGAAGGCGGCUCUCUGGGACGGUACUGACGCUGAGACGCGAAAGCGUGGGGAGCAAACAGG